GAUGAACGCUGGCGGCGUGCCUAAUACAUGCAAGUCGAGCGAACGGACGAGAAGCUUGCUUCUCUGAUGUUAGCGGAGGACGGGUGAGAAACACGUGGAUAACCUCCCUAUAAGACUGGGAUAACUUCGGGAAACCGUAGCUAAUACCGGAUAAUAUUUUGAACCGCAUGGUUCAAAAGUGAAAGACGGUCUUGCUGUCACUUAUAGAUGGAUCCGCGCUGCAUUAGCUAGUUGGUAAGGUAACGGCUUACCAAGGCAACGAUGCAUAGCCGACCGGAUAGGGUGAUCGCCCACCCUGGAACUGAGCCACGGUCCAGACUCCUACGAGAGGCAGCAGUAUCGAAUCGUCCGCAGUGGUCGAAAGCCUUGCGGAGCAACGCCGCGUGAGUGGUGACGAUCCUCGGAUCGUAAAACCCUGUUAUUAGGUAAGAACAUAUUUGUAAUGAACUGUGCACAUCUUGACGGUACCUAAUCAGAAAGCCACGGCUAACUACGUG
rnacentral:rRNA from 1 species